GACUCCGGUGACUCCAUCGGUCCACCCCAUGUUGAGCCUGGUGUAUCUUGGAUGAUGGUGUUCAGUCCAGCCAUCACGGUCCUCUCCACCUUCCUGUGCCUGACUUUUGUUUAUCUCUGCAGUCAGAAUGCAGAUGAAAAAGAUCAAAUGACUGAGAGAAGACCUGACAUGGGAGAGGAAAGUACAGUGAAUCAGGAUGAAGACGCAUGUUUCACCAGAGUUGUGUU